UACGUAGGGUCCAAGCGUUAAUCGGAAUUACUGGGCGUAAAGCGUGCGCAGGCGGUUUGCUAAGACAGGUGUGAAAUCCCCGGGCUCAACCUGGGAACUGCGCUUGUAACUAGCAGGCUAGAGUGCGGCAGAGGGGGGUGGAAUUCCACGUGUAGCAGUGAAAUGCGUAGAGAUGUGGAGGAACACCGAUGGCGAAGGCAGCCCCCUGGGUCGACACUGACGCUCAUGCACAAAAGCGUGGGGAGCAAACAGG
rnacentral:rRNA from 1 species